GCCGGUUUAGCUCAGCAGGUAGAGCGCCUGAUCUGUAAUUAGGAUGUCGUCGGUUCGAGGCCGGCAACCGGCU
rnacentral:tRNA from 1 species